AAAGAAAAAACAAAGAGGAAGAGAAGAGGAGACGGCCGAGGGAGAUACAGGGGAGAAGUGAAGGAGACGACGAGGGAGAGUGAAAUCGCAAGAGGAAUUUGAAGGACCGAAAGAGUUGAGUGAGCCAUGGCUGAGGGAGAGGAAAUGGAGGCAAAAGAUGUGUUGGAUUCAAAGUCAAAAUCAAAAUGCAUAGCGAUGGAGGCCUACACUUAAGGAAAGCACGCUAGUAUAGGAUGCUUGUUUUAUAUAUAUGAGUACACACUAUAUCAACCUUGAAAUUAUAAUUGUUAUAAUAUCGAACUAUGUGAAUUGACAAUGUACUUUUUAGGUGUUUAAUGAACAUGAGGUGGUUAUUACUUUUGAAGAAUGAAA